ensembl:lncRNA
GAAGCUCCAAUACUUUGAAGAGUCUGAAGAGCAUUACUAUAAGGGAGUUCAGCUUGUCAGGAUAUAUCAUACUGGCCAUCAAAGACAGCACAAUACUGAGGUUGAAUGUCAUACCAUUAUUGCUUCCCACUUUAGACUAAUUGUAGGAAAGGGCUGUCUGGUUUGUAGAAUAGUUUUACAAAGUGCAGUUGAAUUACUUUUAAUCAGACCUGUACUAUCAUCUUAUAACCCAAGGCCUCAGCUUCAUCCUUCAAGUGAUGAAGUUAUAAGCGACUACACUGAUUCACAGCCAAUGAUUUCUUAUCUAUUAAAAGUCUCUUGUAAUUUGGAAGAUGUUGACUAAUGAAUGCAUUACCCAGUGCCACGCCUUGGUGGAGAGAGAGUGAAGUGGGCUUCUUCUCAGGCAUGAGGAAUGUUGAAGGGACAACAUCCUUUGUGAGUUAAGAACUGAGGGAAGAAGGCAGUAUAAGGGAUGAGCUGCAUCUUGGCUGUCAGAUCAAGCCCACAGAGAUUCCUGUAAGCUGCGCCUGAUAUAAAAGGAGCAACGUUCCUUCUUUCUCAGCUGUUCCCCAAUUGUCUAUGCAUGAGAUCCAGAUGGGAGUUUCAUUACCCUGCCUGUCUAGCAACACUUACUGGUUCAAGAGUAUGUGACCUCGGCCAGGACAGCAAUGUGUGGAAAACUGAAAUCUGGAGAAGGAAAUACAAAGGGAGGAGCAGAGAAGAUUUUCUUUAAAAAAUAAUUUGCUGAAAGGGAAUAAAAGAUAAAAUCUGAUGGAAUCACAC